AAGACCUUGCGCUUUUGGAGCGGCCGAUGUCUGAUUAGCUAGUUGGUAGGGUAAUGGCCUACCAAAGCUUCGAUCAGUAGCUGGUCUGAGAGGACGACCAGCCACACUGGGACUGAGACACGGCCCAGACUCCUACGGGAGGCAGCAGUGGGGAAUUUUGGACAAUGGGCGCAAGCCUGAUCCAGCCAUGCCGCGUGAGUGAAGAAGGCCUUCGGGUUGUAAAGCUCUUUCAGCCGGGAAGAAAAGGCUACGACGAAUAAUCGUAGCUCAUGACGGUACCGGAAGAAGAAGCACCGGCUAACUACGUGCCAGCAGCCGCGGUAAUACGUAGGGUGCGAGCGUUAAUCGGAAUUACUGGGCGUAAAGGGUGCGUAGGCGGUUUUGUAAGUCAGAUGUGAAAUCCCCGGGCUUAACCUGGGAACU
rnacentral:rRNA from 1 species